AAUUCCCGGUGUUUUCCCAGGUCCGGGAUCUCCUUUCCGCGCUCCGGAAUUCCAGCUCCGGCUCCAGGGUUUCCCCACAUCCCAGCACCCCCCAUCAUUCCCAUCAUUCCCAUUAUUCCCAUUGUUAUUCAUGUUGUUAUCCCCAUCAUUCCUGUUAUUCCCAAUGGGAAUUCCUGCUGUUUUUCCAGGUCUGGGAUCUCCUUUCCAAGCUCCAGAGCUCCAGUUCCAGCUCCGGGGUUUCCCCACAUCCCAGCACCCCCCAUCAUUCCCAUCAUUCCCAUUGUCAUUCCCAUCAUUCCCAUUGUCAUUCCCAUCAUUCCCAUUGUCAUUCCCAUCAUUCCCAUUGUUUUUCCCGGUGUUUUCCCAGCUCAAGGAGCUCCUGUCCGCACUCCAGAAUUCCGGCUCCAGGGUUUCCCCACAUCCCAUCACCCCCAUUAUUCCCAUCAUUCCCAUUAUUCCUGUUGGUAUUCCGGUUGUUAUUCAUGUUGUUAUUCCCAUCAUUCCCAAUUAGAAUUCCUGCUGUUUUUCCAGGUCCUGGAUCUCCUUUCCAAGCUCCAGAGCUCCGGUUCCAGCUCCGGGUUUUCCCCACAUCCCAGAGCCCCUCAGGAUUCCCAUCAUUCCCAUUGUUUUUCCUGUUGUUUUCCCAGGUCCUGGAUCUCCUUUCCAAGCUCCGGAAUUCCAGCUCCGGUUCCAGCUCCGGGGUUUCCCCACAUCCCAAUGUCCCCCAUUAUUCCCAUCAUUCCCAUUGUCAUUCCCAUCAUUCCCAUUGUCUUUCCCAUCAUUCCCAUUGUCAUUCCCAUUAUUCCCAUUGUCAUUCCCAUUAUUCCCAUUGUUUUUCCCGGUGUUUUCCCAGCUCAAGAAGCUCCUGUCCACACUCCAGAAUUCCGGCUCCGGGGUUUCCCCACAUCGCAGCACCCCCCAUCAUUCCCAUUGUCAUUCCCAUCAUUCCCAUUGUUUUUCCUGUUGUUUUUCCAGGUCCAGGAUCUCCUUUCCAAGCUCCAGAGCUCCGGUUCCAGCUCCGGGGUUUCCCCACAUCCCAGCACCCCCCAUCAUUCCCAUCAUUCCCAUUGUUAUUCCCAUCAUUCCCAUUGCCAUUCCCAUCAUUCCCAUUGCCAUUCCCAUUAUUCCCAUUGUUUUUCCCGUUGUUUUCCCAGCUCAAGAAGCUCCUGUCCGCACUCCAGAAUUCCGGCUCCGGGGUUUCCCCACAUCCCAGCACCCCCCAUUAUUCCCAUCAUUCCCAUUAUUCCCGUUGGUAUUCCCAUUGUUAUUCAUGUUGUUAUUCCCAUCAUUCCCAGUAGGGAUUCCUGUUGUUUUCCCAGGUCCAGGAUCUCCUUUCCAAGCUCCAGAGCUCUGGUUCCAGCUCCGGGGUUUCCCCACAUCCCAAUACCCCCCAUCAUUCCCAUCAUUCCCAUUGUUAUUCCCAUCAUUCCCAUUGUCAUUCCUAUCAUUCCCAUUGUCAUUCCCAUUGUCAUUCCCAUUGUCAUUCCCAUCAUUCCCAUUGUCAUUCCCAUUGUUUUUCCCGGUGUUUUCCCAGGUCCGGGAUCUCCUGUCCGCGCUCCGGAAUUCCAGCUCGGGCUCCGGGGUUUCCCCACAUCCCAGAGCCCCCAUUAUUCCCAUCAUUCCCAUUAUUCCCAUUGUCAUUCCCAUCAUUCCCAUU
ensembl:lncRNA